GGCCGGGAAAACGGUUGCCCCCAGCGUCUGGGAACCUGAGACUACAGGCACAAGUAAGCGCUCGGGUGGAUGCCUGUGGGACGGCGGCGCGGGGAGCAGACGUUAACCCGGCCGGACCUCGCGCACAUACCCCACGCUAACCCGGCCUUGCAUAGGGUCGGAAUAUGGGGAUGGGGUCCAGGCAGGGCUGGUCCCAGCACCGAGCUCUCUUGCAGCGCCCCCAGUUUGUUAACUCUACAGCCCCAGAGGGUGGGUUAAUGGGGGAGGUCCAUGCCCCCCCCCCAUGAUCCUCGUCCGCUAGAUCGUGUCCGCUCCCACCCCCAACUGCUUGCAAGGAGAGAGUUUGGCGAGGGUGGCUAGAAGAGGUUUGUUGGGCUCGGGUUCCUAGCGCCUGGUCUUGGGUCUGAGAACGGGGACUCAAAUUCGAUGAACACAAGGGCUCUCCGCGGGCCCUACAAACCGACCGCGGUUCGGUGGUGUCUCCCCCGCCCUCUGUACCCGAGAGUCCUCGGGCGUCUGCCGGGUCCUAGCGCCCCUCCUUCCAAGGCGCUUUGUGUAAAAGAACCGGAGAGUUGCAUCAGGACCAAGGACUAGAUCUCCGGAAAAGUCCGGGAGUGCAAUGGCCAUCCCCUGUUUCGUCAUUCAGGCGGGGCCACAGGAUAUCUGGCUUGAUGGCAGUGCUCGGAGACGAAUAAUGAUUGCUGAGGGUGGGAGGAGGUUCGGACGGACUCGACCUUUACGUCUUUAAAGGCUUAUCAAUCUGGGACACCGGGAUCCCGAUAGAAGAGGGAACCAAAUUUACAGCAGACGCUCCCACUCCGGGAGCCUAACCAGAUCCGACUGGCAGGCCUCGCCUCGGGGGCGGGCUUGCGCGUGACAGAUGACACUUGCUGGAGGUCGGGCCCCUGCCAUCCCCACCCCCACCUAAUUAAAAAAAAAAAAAAAAAGGCUGACCCGUGGGCCUUUCGGGCAAACCGUGACUCGAACCAGAAAGGACCGGAAUUGAGGCCCUGCACCGCCCCCCUCCCCCAUUUUCCAGAUGGAGGAACCAAUUAUGGAGACAAAUUUAUGGAUAAAAAAUAAAUUAGGGGGAGUCAGAUUAGGAGAUAGCGUUAAGAUUGCCGCACAACAGAAUAGUCUUUUGGCCGCUAGGGCGAUUAAGGCCUGAACACUGGCCCUUUCUUCCUGUCCUCCGAGUUCCAGUCACUUAUUGGGAGCCUUAAAGAUACCAGGGUCAGGGGGGUUAGGGGAAGUGCUUGGAGGGCUGGUGGUGGUAGAUGACAUUCUCUUGAAAUCACAGUUUACUGAGGUGGGGUGACCCGUAUGGAUGUGGCCUUGUCACCAGGACAGAAGGUUAGGGAAUGAAUCCAUCAGAGUACUAUUCCCUCUUCCCACCAGACAGACUGGGUUGGGGACACCUGAGACAGAAGGAGAUAGUUUGGGGAUGUUUUUCUUUUUCAUCUCUCUCUUUCUCUCUCUCCCUCUCUUUGUGGCAGGAAAAAAAGGAAAUAUUUCAGAAAAAAAUGUGGAACACUAAGAAAAAUAGAGGUUUUUUAAAAAGUGGAUAUUCGUAAGCAAAAGAAUCCAGAGACCGUGUGGAGAGCUCAGUUCACCAGAAACCAUUCAUAUUCAAUAUGUGGACAGCACAUAGUAAAGGCUCAGUGAACAUUCCUUGGAUGAACAGAUGAAUGGAUGGAUGGAUGGAUGGAUGGAUGGAUAGAUGGAUGGAUAAAGCAAGAAGGUGAAUUUUCCCAGAAUUGUAGACCUACAUCUGGAUUCCCAAGACCAAGGUCUGUGUGGGGCCCUUUCGUACAACAGCCCCCUAGGCGAUCCUGACACUCCGCUCCAUUUUAGUUGGAAUGUCUGCUGACCUCUCAGAAAGAAAGG